GGGGGUGAACAGGGUUCGACGGGAGUGGUCAGAGGUAUGCACAGCAGGUCGGAGUUGGUCAAAGGCUCCGUAAAAAUUGACCAAACAAUAAACAACGAUACAAUUAAAAAAAUCGUACCGGUACAGAACGUCAAACCCAUGCCCAGCAUGGUCCCGAUGUUCUUGCCCUUUGCGGCUUAAUUAACCGCAGCGUUUUACCUUAGACUCCUGCUAAAAGGAUAAAACGUCAAGAGCAGGAUAGCUUUAAACCGCUUGCUCCGUCGGGUUAAAGCAAAACAAAAACGGCGCUGGUUUAUAAUGUAAUCCCGUCCGGAGACGGCAUUAUAAACGAGAUAAAUCUUCCGGACUAAACCUGUAGCGGUCAUACCGAAGCAUUUUCGGACGCCGGUUCAAUUCCGGCCACCUCCACCC
rnacentral:tmRNA from 1 species